rnacentral:rRNA from 1 species
GGGUUGUGAGGUUAAGCGACUAAGCGUACACGGUGGAUGCCCUGGCAGUCAGAGGCGAUGAAGGACGUGCUAAUCUGCGAUAAGCGUCGGUGAGGUGAUAUGAACCGUUAUAACCGGCGAUUUCCGAAUGGGGAAACCCAGUGUGUUUCGACACACUAUCAUUAACUGAAUCCAUAGGUUAAUGAGGCGAACCGGGGGAACUGAAACAUCUAAGUACCCCGAGGAAAAGAAAUCAACCGAGAUUCCCCCAGUAGCGGCGAGCGAACGGGGAGGAGCCCAGAGCCUGAAUCAGUGUGUGUGUUAGUGGAAGCGUCUGGAAAGGCGUGCGAUACAGGGUGACAGCCCCGUACACAAAAAUGCACAUAUUGUGAGCUCGAUGAGUAGGGCGGGACACGUGGUAUCCUGUCUGAAUAUGGGGGGACCAUCCUCCAAGGCUAAAUACUCCUGACUGACCGAUAGUGAACCAGUACCGUGAGGGAAAGGCGAAAAGAACCCCGGCGAGGGGAGUGAAAAAGAACCUGAAACCGUGUACGUACAAGCAGUGGGAGCCUCUUAAUGGGGUGACUGCGUACCUUUUGUAUAAUGGGUCAGCGACUUAUAUUCUGUAGCAAGGUUAACCGAAUAGGGGAGCCGAAGGGAAACCGAGUCUUAACUGGGCGUUAAGUUGCAGGGUAUAGACCCGAAACCCGGUGAUCUAGCCAUGGGCAGGUUGAAGGUUGGGUAACACUAACUGGAGGACCGAACCGACUAAUGUUGAAAAAUUAGCGGAUGACUUGUGGCUGGGGGUGAAAGGCCAAUCAAACCGGGAGAUAGCUGGUUCUCCCCGAAAGCUAUUUAGGUAGCGCCUCGUGAAUUCAUCUCCGGGGGUAGAGCACUGUUUCGGCAAGGGGGUCAUCCCGACUUACCAACCCGAUGCAAACUGCGAAUACCGGAGAAUGUUAUCACGGGAGACACACGGCGGGUGCUAACGUCCGUCGUGAAGAGGGAAACAACCCAGACCGCCAGCUAAGGUCCCAAAGUCAUGGUUAAGUGGGAAACGAUGUGGGAAGGCCCAGACAGCCAGGAUGUUGGCUUAGAAGCAGCCAUCAUUUAAAGAAAGCGUAAUAGCUCACUGGUCGAGUCGGCCUGCGCGGAAGAUGUAACGGGGCUAAACCAUG